rnacentral:misc_RNA from 1 species
UUUCGUAAAAAGGGGGCCCGAUGCGGCGGGCUGGGCAAAGAAAGCCCUCCCCGAGGCCUGACCCCCAAUGUCAGCCCCCAUUUAUCGGCCACCCCACGGUUAGCCCCUGCACCUGUAAUGGACGGAGACCAAAACUCCUCGUACUACAAAAUCGUGGCACUUGGAGCGCCGGGGGUCGGAAAAACCGCCAUUACCCAGCAGUUUAUGACAUCCGAGUAUAUAGCAUUUGAUUCUUCAAUGGAUCAAAGUGAGCAUGAGAAAACGAUAUCGGUCUUACUGAAUGGGGUGGAAUCUACCGUCGAGGUUCUUGAUGGUAUUGAUAUACAGGGCGAUCUAGAGGACAUUCGGGCGGACGCCUUUCUGGUGAUAUUUUCCAUUGCACACCGGGAUACCUUUGACACUGCCGUCCAACUGCUACAGGAGCUGCGUAUGGACCUAGGGACUGACCGAACCACGAUUCUAGUGGGAAACAAGUCGGAUCUGGUCAGAAAGCGUAAAGUCACCACAGAAGAAGCAUUGGAGGUAGCAAAUCAGUAUGAGGCUAAGUACACUGAAACUUCGGCCGCGCUGAAUCACAAUGUAGACGAACUAUUGGUGGGGACUAUAGACCACAUCCGGUACAAACUUAAUCCGUCCUUACCGGAACCGAUUCUGAAAUUAGACACCAGGAAGUCGCAUGCCAUGCGUGUUCCAUCAUUUAAAGGACCAAUUGACUUUUUCAGAAGGCUUUUUAGCAGAGGGAACAAGAAGUCACCGAAGCUGUUGAAACCGUAAAAGAGUGAAACGAUAAUCAAAAAUCAUUUAAGAUCACUUUCAAUGGCAUUUUAAUUUCUUUCUUUUUUUUUUUGGUUAAAAGCAAUUUGAUCAUUUGCCAAAUGUUUUUCAUUAUUUUGUAUGUAUUUAUAAAUUAUACUCUGUGAUAUUUAUAUAUCGCCACAAAUCAAUAAUUAUUACAUGUAUGUACUGUUCAAUAAUAAUGAAAAUUUCUUCAGCCUUAUUCGAGAAUAAGUAGUAUUGUUCUUGAUCUGACAUGUUACGAUUUAAAUGUGUUUAUUUUUUAUAUACACUGAUUCAAAAUCAAUUGUUUAUGUCUUUUCUUCUACUCUGUUUCCAACAAUCAAGUAUUACUAUUAUUAAAUCAAUAACCCCCGAGUUCCAAAAUUUAUGUAGAUAAAUGACUCGAAUAGAAAACUCAAAAUAGAUCCGGAAUGUAUGGCGCAGAUUGUCUACAUUUUUAUCAUUUGCACUAGAAAUUCAGUUUAUGUACAAAAGUUUUCUUAGUUUUUACAUUCUAAAUCAUUGCCCCCUGUUUACAGUAACUGCACUUGAAGUUUAACAAAAUUGUUUACCAAAACAAAGCACGUUCAUAGGAGAGCAGGGGUUUCUUGACCUUUGCUAUCAUUGAUUGUAGACACAUUUUGUGGGAGUACCUCUAAUCAAAAGCAAUUUCUUGGCUAAUGUGUUAAUUUAGUUUCUCAUGAAAUGGUCCUGAAAAAUAAACAUAUUACGAUGUUUUCCUUCUUCUAGCUUGUAUAAUUAACCUUUAUAUUUCAUUAUCAAUUGAAAUGAGUGAAAAAUAAUCUACAGGCGGAAGCAAUGAAAGGGGGCGAAGAUCAGGAUGUUUUGAAAUGUAUGGAGAAUUACCCCGUACCUGAUGACUUCUUAAUUAAAUCAUUCCACUCCUGGCAUGUGUCUGAUAAGUAGGGUUAGAAUGACCGAAGCAAAAUUCAUUAAAUAUAUAUAUUUAUCUAACAAAGAAAUUUUAUCAGUUUUGUAGAAUACUUACUAUUUGCUUAUCAAAGAAAAGGUAUCAGCCGAAGUUCAUCCUCGUUAGAUUAUGGGGAAUGGUUUUGUAAAUAUACGUACGUUUUGAUGACUGUGUGAUGGGGAUUAUAUCUUUGAAGCGAUAGAGUUUAUCGCCUAUGUAAAACAAUUGUACUGUUGUGAAUCUGUAUUUUAGUUUGUUAACAUAAUCCUCGUUCAUAAAUUUCAUAUGGUGCUCUGUACACUUAAUCUUGUGAAUCCAAAGUUAUUCCGUUUGUUAUAAUUUUAUACGUAUUAUGUGUAUAUUUCAUACAGAUAUAUUCUUUAUGUAUAUAUUUAAACAUUCGAUGUUUUACUAUACGCCAUGUUUCAUUUUUCUGUCAAUAAAAUGGCAAC